rnacentral:tRNA from 1 species
UGGGGAAUCGUCUAAUGGUAGGACUGCAGUCUUUGAAGCUGCUUGUGGGGGUUCGAAUCCCUCUUCCCCAG